AUGUGGGCCUCAUUGAUUUCACUUCCUGGCCUGCAGGCACCUGAAGCAGAGAAAUUAUAUGGAAGAAGGAGAGAAGAUUCAAAACACGAGAGGGACUUAACCUGCACCGGUUGCUUUAAAAGUGGAGGAAGGAGACGAAACCAAGAAAUGUGGGUGGCCUCUAGAAGCUGAAAACAGCCCUCAUCUGAGAACAGCAGGAAAACAAAGAUCUCAGUUGUACAACCACAGGGAACUGAUUUCUGCCAACAGCCUAAAUAAGCCAGGAUUCUCCAGAAAAGAAAGUAGCCACCGAUACCUGGGGUGAUCUCUCCUGUCCCUGCUGAUACCACAGACAGGAACUGCUGAUGUGGGCACUCUCAGCUCUGCUGCUGGCAGCAACAGCUAGAUCUCGGGUUUGGGGGCCAGGACGCUGGCAUUUGUUACCAUGGAAACUGCUCACAGCUGUGUUAGUAGUCGUUCCUGACAUGUCAACUUCCCACAGA